GAUGAACGCUGGCGGCGUGCCUAAUACAUGCAAGUCGAGCGAACGGACGAGAAGCUUGCUUCUCUGAUGUUAGCGGCGGACGGGUGAGUAACACGUGGAUAACCUACCUAUAAGACUGGGAUAACUUCGGGAAACCGUAGCUAAUACCGGAUAAUAUUUUGAACCGCAUGGUUCAAAAGUGAAAGACGGUCUUGCUGUCACUUAUAGAUGGAUCCGCGCUGCAUUAGCUAGUUGGUAAGGUAACGGCUUACCAAGGCAACGAUGCAUAGCCGACCUGAGAGGGUGGUCGCCCACACUGGAACUGAGACACGUCCCAGACUCCUACGGGAGGCAGCAGUAGGGAAUCUUCCGCAAUGGGCGAAAGCCUGACGGAGCAACGCCGCGUGAGUGAUGAAGGUCUUCGGAUCGUAAAACGCUGUUAUUAGUGAAGAACAUAUGUGUAAGUAACUGUGCACAUCUUGACGGUACCUAAUCAGAAAGCCACGGCUAACUACGUG
rnacentral:rRNA from 1 species